GUAGGGUGCGAGCGUUAAUCGGAAUUACUGGGCGUAAAGCGUGCGCAGGCGGUUCUGAAAGUCAGCUGUGAAAGCCCCGGGCUUAACCUGGGAAUGGCGGUUGAAACUACAGGACUAGAAUCUGGCAGAGGGGGGUGGAAUUCCACGUGUAGCAGUGAAAUGCGUAGAGAUGUGGAGGAACACCGAUGGCGAAGGCAGCCCCCUGGGCUGAGAUUGACGCUCAGGCACGAAAGCGUGGGGAGCAAACAGGAUUAGAUACCCUGGUAGUCCACGCCCUAAACGAUGUCAACUAGGUGUUGGGAGCGCAAGUUCUUGGUACCGCAGCUAACGCGUGAAGUUGACCGCCUGGGGAGUACGGUCGCAAGAUUA
rnacentral:rRNA from 1 species